UACGAAGGGGGCUAGCGUUGCUCGGAAUCACUGGGCGUAAAGGGUGCGUAGGCGGGUCUUUAAGUCAGGGGUGAAAUCCUGGAGCUCAACUCCAGAACUGCCUUUGAUACUGGCGAGCUCGAGUCCGGGAGAGGUGAGUGGAACUGCGAGUGUAGAGGUGAAAUUCGUAGAUAUUCGCAAGAACACCAGUGGCGAAGGCGGCUCACUGGCCCGGUACUGACGCUGAGGUGCGAAAGCGUGGGGAGCAAACAGGG
rnacentral:rRNA from 1 species